rnacentral:lncRNA from 1 species
CUCUUCAUAUGAGUGUUAUAUCACGUACAGGUUACUGCAGUACAAGCAAAGUGUAAUUACCAGGAAAAAAGUAAAGACAGAGCACCAGAGUUUAAAGAAUGACAUUUUGUUAUCUCUUAUUUUUGUUUAUGUUGGACAGGUGGGAGUGUGGAUGGAAACAAUUUGUGAAGAAGGAUUUCAAUGAAUUUGAGGAUUGAAUUACAGAGACUGAAACAGCAUGAAUACCUUUCCAGAGGUGUGCAUCACAACACAGUGAAGGAAAGAUGGCAUUUCCAGACAAGUCUCUCAUCCUGUGACAGCUGAAUUAUUCUCUCCCAAAUAUGCUAAAACAACAGAUUUUCAUUUUGUUCAAGGACUUACAUCAUUGUUAAAAAGCACUUCAGAAUUUGAUGCAGUCAUCAAAAAUGUGGAAUUAGGAGAGACAAUAAACAUUGAGGUACCAGUGUCACACCAUCUCUAAAAUAGGAUUUAAACCUUUGAAAAGCAUGUGCAAUUACAGCGAACCUUCUCACUGUAAACAGCAAAGCCAAGGUCUUACAAAUAAAUGGAGUAGGCAGCUUAUGGGAUCUGAUUAGAGGGGCAAGCCAGAUGCUCCUAUCUAAAAAUAUCUUCCCGCCUGUUACCUUUAGAAUUCAUUCCUCUGCAUCUUGGAGGCUUUUUUGAUCAGUAAGAGACCCCCAUUAAAAUGUAAAUACUGCUGGGAGUUG